rnacentral:rRNA from 1 species
GGGAUGACACAGUAGGAUAAGCUAAGCACACUGUUGGUUAUGUGUGCCCAAGCAUUGAGGCAGUCAAAGUAGGCAAAUCCGCUUUGAUAAUGCUGGGAUGUGAUGGGGAGCGAAAUUUAGUAGCGAAGUAGCUGAUUUCACACUGUCAAGAAAAGUCUCUAUCGAGGUUAAAGGUACCCGUACCGCAAACCGACACAGGUGGGGGAGGAGAGUAUCCUAAGGCCAGCGAGAGAACUGUUGUUAAGGAACUCGGCAAAAUGACCCCGUAACUUAGGGAUAAGGGGUGCCACCAUCAGGUGGCCGCAGAGAAUAGGCCCAAGCGACUGUUUACCAAAAACAUAGGUUUCUGCUAAGUCGCAAGACGAUGUAUAGGAGCUGACGCCUGCCCGGUGCUGGAAGUUUAAGGGGAUCUGUUAGAGCAAUCGAAGCAGUGAAC